AUUGAACGCUGGCGGUAGGCCUAACACAUGCAAGUCGAGCGAGCGGCGGACGGGUGAGUAAUGUCUGGGAAACUGCCUGAUGGAGGGGGAUAACUACUGGAAACGGUAGCUAAUACCGCAUACCAUCAGAUGUGCCCAGAUGGGAUUAGUUAGUAGGUGGGGUAACGGCUCACCUAGGCGACGAUCCCUAGCUGGUCUGAGAGUAUGCCCAGCCAAACUGGAACUUAGGCACGGUCCAGACCCCGACGGGAGGCAGCAGGGGGGAAUAUUGCACAAUGGGCGCAAGCCUGAUGCAGCCAUGCCGCGUGUGUGAAGAAGGCCUUCGGGUUGUAAAGCACUUUCAUCGGGGAGGCGUUACCCGCAGAAGAAGCACCGGCUAACUCCGUGCCAGCAGCCGCGGUAAUU
rnacentral:rRNA from 1 species